GACGAACGCUGGCGGCGUGCUUAACACAUGCAAGUCGAACGGAAAGGCCCUGCUUUUGUGGGGUGCUCGAGUGGCGAACGGGUGAGUAACACGUGAGUAACCUGCCCUUGACUUUGGGAUAACUUCAGGAAACUGGGGCUAAUACCGGAUAGGAGCUCCUGCUGCAUGGUGGGGGUUGGAAAGUUUCGGCGGUUGGGGAUGGACUCGCGGCUUAUCAGCUUGUUGGUGGGGUAGUGGCUUACCAAGGCUUUGACGGGUAGCCGGCCUGAGAGGGUGACCGGCCACAUUGGGACUGGGAUACGGCCCAGACUCCUACGGGAGGCAGCAGUGGGGAAUAUUGCACAAUGGGCGGAAGCCGGAUGCAGCAACGCCGCGUGCGGGAUGACGGCCUUCGGGUUGUAAACCGCUUUCGCCUGUGACGAAGCGUGAGUGACGGUAAUGGGGAAAGAAGCACCGGCUAACUACGU
rnacentral:rRNA from 1 species